GAUUAAGUUAUUAAGGGCGCACGGUGGAUGCCUUGGCACUAGAAGCCGAUGAAGGACGUUACUAACGACGAUAUGCUUUGGGGAGCUGUAAGUAAGCUUUGAUCCAGAGAUUUCCGAAUGGGGAAACCCAGCAUGAGUUAUGUCAUGUUAUCGAUAUGUGAAUACAUAGCAUAUCAGAAGGCACACCCGGAGAACUGAAACAUCUUAGUACCCGGAGGAAGAGAAAGAAAAUUCGAUUCCCUUAGUAGCGGCGAGCGAAACGGGAAGAGCCCAAACCAACAAGCUUGCUUGUUGGGGUUGUAGGACACUCUAUACGGAGUUACAAAGGACGACAUUAGACGAAUCAUCUGGAAAGAUGAAUCAAAGAAGGUAAUAAUCCUGUAGUCGAAAAUGUUGUCUCUCUUGAGUGGAUCCUGAGUACGACGGAGCACGUGAAAUUCCGUCGGAAUCUGGGAGGACCAUCUCCUAAGGCUAAAUACUCUCUAGUGACCGAUAGUGAACCAGUACCGUGAGGGAAAGGUGAAAAGCACCCCGGAAGGGGAGUGAAAUAGAACCUGAAACCGUGUGCUUACAAGUAGUCAGAGCCCGUUAAUGGGUGAUGGCGUGCCUUUUGUAGAAUGAACCGGCGAGUUACGAUUUGAUGCAAGGUUAAGCAGUAAAUGUGGAGCCGUAGCGAAAGCGAGUCUGAAUAGGGCGUUUAGUAUUUGGUCGUAGACCCGAAACCAGGUGAUCUACCCUUGGUCAGGUUGAAGUUCAGGUAACACUGAAUGGAGGACCGAACCGACUUACGUUGAAAAGUGAGCGGAUGAACUGAGGGUAGCGGAGAAAUUCCAAUCGAACCUGGAGAUAGCUGGUUCUCUCCGAAAUAGCUUUAGGGCUAGCCUCAAGUGAUGAUUAUUGGAGGUAGAGCACUGUUUGGACGAGGGGCCCCUCUCGGGUUACCGAAUUCAGACAAACUCCGAAUGCCAAUUAAUUUAACUUGGGAGUCAGAACAUGGGUGAUAAGGUCCGUGUUCGAAAGGGAAACAGCCCAGACCACCAGCUAAGGUCCCAAAAUAUAUGUUAAGUGGAAAAGGAUGUGGCGUUGCCCAGACAACUAGGAUGUUGGCUUAGAAGCAGCCAUCAUUUAAAGAGUGCGUAAUAGCUCACUAGUCGAGUGACACUGCGCCGAAAAUGUACCGGGGCUAAACAUAUUACCGAAGCUGUGGAUUGUACUUUGGACAAUGGUAGGAGAGCGUUCUAAGGGCGUUGAAGCAUGAUCGUAAGGACAUGUGGAGCGCUUAGAAGUGAGAAUGCCGGUGUGAGUAGCGAAAGACGGGUGAGAAUCCCGUCCACCGAUUGACUAAGGUUUCCAGAGGAAGGCUCGUCCGCUCUGGGUUAGUCGGGUCCUAAGCUGAGGCCGACAGGCGUAGGCGAUGGAUAACAGGUUGAUAUUCCUGUACCACCUAUAAUCGUUUUAAUCGAUGGGGGGACGCAGUAGGAUAGGCGAAGCGUGCGAUUGGAUUGCACGUCUAAGCAGUAAGGCUGAGUAUUAGGCAAAUCCGGUACUCGUUAAGGCUGAGCUGUGAUGGGGAGAAGACAUUGUGUCUUCGAGUCGUUGAUUUCACACUGCCGAGAAAAGCCUCUAGAUAGAAAAUAGGUGCCCGUACCGCAAACCGACACAGGUAGUCAAGAUGAGAAUUCUAAGGUGAGCGAGCGAACUCUCGUUAAGGAACUCGGCAAAAUGACCCCGUAACUUCGGGAGAAGGGGUGCUCUUUAGGGUUAACGCCCAGAAGAGCCGCAGUGAAUAGGCCCAAGCGACUGUUUAUCAAAAACACAGGUCUCUGCUAAACCGUAAGGUGAUGUAUAGGGGCUGACGCCUGCCCGGUGCUGGAAGGUUAAGAGGAGUGGUUAGCUUCUGCGAAGCUAUGAAUCGAAGCCCCAGUAAACGGCGGCCGUAACUAUAACGGUCCUAAGGUAGCGAAAUUCCUUGUCGGGUAAGUUCCGACCCGCACGAAAGGCGUAACGAUUUGGGCACUGUCUCAACGAGAGACUCGGUGAAAUCAUAGUACCUGUGAAGAUGCAGGUUACCCGCGACAGGACGGAAAGACCCCGUGGAGCUUUACUGUAGCCUGAUAUUGAAAUUCGGCACAGCUUGUACAGGAUAGGUAGGAGCCUUUGAAACGUGAGCGCUAGCUUACGUGGAGGCGCUGGUGGGAUACUACCCUAGCUGUGUUGGCUUUCUAACCCGCACCACUUAUCGUGGUGGGAGACAGUGUCAGGCGGGCAGUUUGACUGGGGCGGUCGCCUCCUAAAAGGUAACGGAGGCGCUCAAAGGUUCCCUCAGAAUGGUUGGAAAUCAUUCAUAGAGUGUAAAGGCAUAAGGGAGCUUGACUGCGAGACCUACAAGUCGAGCAGGGUCGAAAGACGGACUUAGUGAUCCGGUGGUUCCGCAUGGAAGGGCCAUCGCUCAACGGAUAAAAGCUACCCCGGGGAUAACAGGCUUAUCUCCCCCAAGAGUUCACAUCGACGGGGAGGUUUGGCACCUCGAUGUCGGCUCAUCGCAUCCUGGGGCUGUAGUCGGUCCCAAGGGUUGGGCUGUUCGCCCAUUAAAGCGGUACGCGAGCUGGGUUCAGAACGUCGUGAGACAGUUCGGUCCCUAUCCGUCGUGGGCGUAGGAAAUUUGAGAGGAGCUGUCCUUAGUACGAGAGGACCGGGAUGGACAUACCUCUGGUGUACCAGUUGUCGUGCCAACGGCAUAGCUGGGUAGCUAUGUGUGGACGGGAUAAGUGCUGAAAGCAUCUAAGCAUGAAGCCCCCCUCAAGAUGAGAUUUCCCAACUUCGGUUAUAAGAUCCCUCAAAGAUGAUGAGGUUAAUAGGUUCGAGGUGGAAGCAUGGUGACAUGUGGAGCUGACGAAUACUAAUCGAUCGAAGACUUAAUCAA
rnacentral:rRNA from 1 species